rnacentral:rRNA from 1 species
AGCGAACGCUGGCGGCAGGCCUAACACAUGCAAGUCGAACGAACCCUUCGGGGUUAGUGGCGGACGGGUGAGUAACACGUGGGAACGUGCCUUUAGGUUCGGAAUAACUCAGGGAAACUUGUGCUAAUACCGAAUGUGCCCUUCGGGGAAAGAUUUAUCGCCUUUAGAGCGGCCCGCGUCUGAUUAGCUAGUUGGUGAGGUAAUGGCUCACCAAGGCUACGAUCAGUAGCUGGUCUGAGGGGAUGACCAGCCACAUUGGGACUGAGACACGGCCCAAACUCCUACGGGAGGCAGCAGUGGGGAAGCUUGCGCAAUGGGCGAAAGCCUGACGCAGCCAUGCCGCGUGGAUGAUGAAGGUCUUAGGAUUGUAAAAUCCUUUCACCGGUGAAGAUAAUGACUGUAGCCGGAGAAGAAGCCCCGGCUAACUUCGUGCCAGCCGCCGCUGUAACAC